GGGGCAUCGGGUCCCCCAGGGCCAGGAAGCUUCCCACUCUGGAAAAGGCUGCAGAACACGUGCUGUUCCAAGCUAGGAUUCCUGUCCAGACAGCCUUUAUAAACCCAGUGAGUAGGGGCUCUGCUUCAGCUCCCUUGUCACUUUGUGCUGCCUGGUCCCCCUGUGAGUAGACACUCCAGCUUUCUUGAGUGGCAGACUUGGCUCCUGGCCUGGUUCUGCAUCCCUGAGCCCUGCAUGAGGCUUCAUGGGGCUUGAUUUUUAAAAUGUCCAUCUCCUAGGCUUCCUUCUGCUGGGCGGUGCCAGGCUCAGUGUGCGUUUUUUCAGCCAGUGUUUACGGAGUGCAUCCUGCCUGCCCAGUGAUUUAGAAACCUCAAGGCUCAGGGCAGAGAGAGGGCUGAGGACCAGGAAGGCUGCACUGAGGAGGACUGAGUCCUGGACGUGGGCUGGCAUCAUGGUCGUCCUCUACCUGAGAUGCUUUCAGAUAAAUGGCAAAGGCUCCUGUUUCGUCUGUUGGUAGCAUCAUCUGGCAUCAUCUAGAGGCUUAGAAGGAAUAUACCUACGUAACUGAAAUGACACAACAAACUCUCAAAGGAACAGGUCUGUGAAACAGUUUGCUAGUUUCUCUUUCUGUGGAUAAUCAAGGGAAACAUUUGGAAUAUCUGAGGAUAAAUAAGGGCCAACAGGCCACGUACUGAGAGAGUUUCAGAAGCUAGGUCUGGCCCUGCCAAGGCCUUUCGUUCUUCUUCCUGGCUUGACUUGUGGGCCUGUUCGGUAAAGCGGCUUCUCCAAGCAGAGACCAGGUAUCCCUGGCCUUGCGUCUUCAAACACUGC
rnacentral:lncRNA from 1 species